UGGGAUAAGGUGUGUUAUAG
rnacentral:siRNA from 1 species